rnacentral:rRNA from 1 species
CAAUAGCGUAUAUUAAAGUUGUUGCGGUAAAAAAGCUCGUAGUUGGAUUUCUGUUGAGAGCGACCGGUCCAUACCAUGUAUGCGUAUCUGGCUUGCUCUCGGCAUCCUCUCGAUAGACGUUACUGCGCUUGAUUGCGUGGUGCGGAUCUCGGGACUUUUACUUUGAGGAAAUUAGAGUGUUCACGGCAGGCUUUCGCCAGAAUACAUUAGCAUGGAAUAAUACUAUAGGAUCUUGGUUCUAUUUUGUUGGUUUCUAGAAUUGAGAUAAUGAUUAAUAGGGACAAUUGGGGGCAUUCGUAUCAACACGUCAGAUGUGGAAUUCUUGGAUUGUGUUGCGACGAACUACUGCGAAAGCAUUUGCCAAGGAUGUUUUCAUUGA